rnacentral:misc_RNA from 1 species
GGCUGUUGUAGAUUAUGUUGCGUCUUUGCUGAUGCCUCUUUAUAAAGCAAGGAAACUCGACAGGGAUGGGUAUAAAUCCAUAAUGAAGAAAACUGCUACAAAGGUAAUGGAACAUGCCACAGAUGCUAAAAAGGCCAUGCAUGUGUACGAGUUUCUUGAUUUCAAACGUAAAAACAAGAUUAGAGAUUUCGUGGACAAGUUGGUUGAAAGGCAUAUUCAGAUGAAUCCGGGUGCAAAAUCAUAAUGGACAAAGGAUGAGCAGUCACUCUUAUUGAUGCUUUACGGCAGGGUGAUUAGUCUCAUCAACUUUUUCACGAGUGGGUGCAACAAUCAUGGACGAGUGAGGAAUGCAGGCUUCAUUGAACAAUUAUCCUUGCCAAGCUAGUUAUCGUCUUCAGAGACUCUUUUGUUGAAUGUAUCAUGGACUGUUUAUUGUAAGAGACUGAUUAAUUGUCCUGCAAAUUUGAGACUUUUGACAUUUCUGUUGCGGUGUCUGCAAGAAACAAUCUCAAGGUGAUAAAGUCGGUGAAAACAUGUCUGUCAUGUGAAUGUUAUACUACUACUACUCCUGCUGACUGACGUGAAUUCCUUAAGAGAUAGCAAGAUUAGGUUUAGAAUUGGUAGUCAGAUUUGAAGUUGUAUUAUAUAGAAGAAAAGUAGCCCUUUGUUUCUUUCAGUUCAGGGUUCCCCUUUGAUGAACAAUCACUUCUGACUUUUCUUUAGUUUUGGUAUGUG